rnacentral:tRNA from 1 species
GACGGAAAUGGUUCUAUGGUGUAGUGGUUAGCACUCUGGACUUUGAAUCCAGCGACCUGGGUUCGACUCC